rfam:Synechococcus phage S-WAM2 isolate 0810PA29, complete genome.
UCGGGUUUCUUACUUCCUAAAAGUAAGUGGUGCGGAUGGGAAUACUCCCGCCUGGUUUCUUGCUUCCAGUCAAAGAGCAAGUGGUGGAUCCAAAU